CCUACGGGAGACAGCAGUAGGGAAUCUUUCACAAUGGGCGAAAGCCUGAUGGAGCAACGCCGCGUGCAGGAUGAAGGCCUUCGGGUUGUAAACUGCUUUUAUAAGCGAGAAAUAUGAUGGUAACUUAUGAAUAAGGAUCGGCUAACUACGUGCCAGCAGCCGCGGUCAUACGUAGGAUCCGAGCAUAAUCCGGAGUGACUGGGUGUAAAGAGUUGCGUAGGUGGCAUAAUAAGUAGCUGGUGAAAUCUGGUGGCUCAACCAUUCAGACUAUUAGCUAAACUGUUAAGCUUGAGACCGUUAGGGGUAACUGGAAUUUCUAGUGUAGGAGUGAAAUCCGUAGAUAUUAGAAAGAACACCGAUAGCGUAGGCAGGUUACUGGGACGGUUCUGACACUAAGGCACGAAAGCGUAGGUAGCAAACGGGAUUAGAUACCCUGGUAGUC
rnacentral:rRNA from 1 species